rnacentral:ncRNA from 1 species
UCAUUGUUGUAGCAAUUUUAUAUGAAUUCUUGAUUUAAAUAGGAAGGGUGCACUCUGCAUGAAUUUCAAAAGAGAAUUGGGUUAAUAUUCCCGAAUCGGGACACGAUGGUGUACGACAAUGUUACGAAAUCUGGAGAUGUCAUCGGGGGCCUGGGAAGAGUUAUAUUUUCUUUUUAAUGAUUUUCCCACCCUAAAAUCAGUUCAAGCAGAGAUAGGGUCCAACAUCUGGAAGAGAAACACACGUCUUGUGGUGUUUGGUGCCCCCUCGGUGGCCAUUGAAAAUAUGGAGAACCAAGUACCAUCCAUGCCCAAUCGUA